UGAGGAAUAUUGGUCAAUGGGCGAGAGCCUGAACCAGCCAAGUAGCGUGCAGGAUGACGGCCCUCCGGGUUGUAAACUGCUUUUAGUUGGGAAUAAAAAAAGGGACUUGUCCCUUCUUGUAUGUACCUUCAGAAAAAGGACCGGCUAAUUCCGUGCCAGCAGCCGCGGUAAUACGGAAGGUCCAGGCGUUAUCCGGAUUUAUUGGGUUUAAAGGGAGCGUAGGCGGAUUGUUAAGUCAGCGGUUAAAGGGUGUGGCUCAACCAUGCAUUGCCGUUGAAACUGGCGAUCUUGAGUGCAGACAGGGAUGCCGGAAUUCGUGGUGUAGCGGUGAAAUGCUUAGAUAUCACGAAGAACUCCGAUCGCGAAGGCAGGUGUCCGGGCUGCAACUGACGCUGAGGCUCGAAAGUGUGGGUAUCAAACAGGAUUAGAUACCCUGGUAGUCCACACAGUAAACGAUGUAUACUCGCGGUUUGCGAUAGAUUGUAAGCCGCCAAGCGAAAGCAUUAAGUAUACCACCUGGGGAGUACGCCGGCAACGGUG
rnacentral:rRNA from 1 species